CAAUCCUGAUUCUAGACCUCCAGACUCCCCUAUCAAGGGUCAUGUCCUCGGUAACCUGCAUUCUGGUCAUGUCCUGCCUAAUCACCUCUCCCAAAUGCUUCUUAGGCCUCCCUCUCCCUCGCCGACCACCAACAAUUUCCAGUCGCUCGCAGCUCCUCACCGGGGCAUCGGGGCCCCUCCUAUGAACAUGCCCGAACCACCUCAGCCUCGCUUCCCGCAUCUUCUCGUCCACCGGGGCCACCUCUACCUUCUGUCGAAUA
rnacentral:lncRNA from 1 species